UACGUAGGCAGCAAGCGUUGUUCGGAGUUACUGGGCGUAAAGAGUGCGUAGGUGGUGCCCUAAGUCUGUUGUGAAAUCUCCCGGCUUAACUGGGAGGGUGCGGUGGAAACUGGGGUGCUUGAGUGUGGGAGAGGUAAGCGGAAUUCCUGGUGUAGCGGUGAAAUGCGUAGAUAUCAGGAGGAACACCGGUGGUGUAGACGGCUUACUGGACACAUAUUGACGCUGAGGUGCGAAAGCGUGGGGAGCAAACAGG
rnacentral:rRNA from 1 species